rnacentral:rRNA from 1 species
AAUAGAUACCCAGGUAGUCCACGCCCUAAACGAUGUCAACUAGCUGUUGGGGCCUUCGGGCCUUGGUAGCGCAGCUAACGCGUGAAGUUGACCGCCUGGGGAGUACGGUCGCAAGAUUAAAACUCAAAGGAAUUGACGGGGACCCGCACAAGCGGUGGAUGAUGUGGAUUAAUUCGAUGCAACGCGAAAAACCUUACCUACCCUUGACAUGUCUGGAAUGCCGAAGAGAUUUGGCAGUGCUCGCAAGAGAACCGGAACACAGGUGCUGCAUGGCUGUCGUCAGCUCGUGUCGUGAGAUGUUGGGUUAAGUCCCGCAACGAGCGCAACCCUUGUCAUUAGUUGCUACGAAAGGGCACUCUAAUGAGACUGCCGGUGACAAACCGGAGGAAGGUGGGGAUGACGUCAAGUCCUCAUGGCCCUUAUGGGUAGGGCUUCACACGUCAUACAAUGGUCGGGACAGAGGGUCGCCAACCCGGCGAGGGGGAGCCAAUCCCAGAAACCCGAUCGUAGUCCGGAUCGCAGUCUGCAACUCGA